CGCCCGUCGUGUGUAUCAGCGGGUGAGCGGACGGUCGGCGGUGGUGAUUGAGAUAGGCACUCCACAGAAGAUCGCUGGUGAGUGGAAUUGCUGGGGGUGCCCUGUUUGUAUCAAGGGCCUCAAGGGCAAGAGUGGCAGGCCGCG
rnacentral:misc_RNA from 1 species